GCCCUGGUGGCGCAAUGGAUUAGCGCAUUGGACUUCUAAUUCAAAGGUUGUGGGUUCGAGUCCCAUCCAGGGUG
rnacentral:tRNA from 1 species